UUACAGAGAGCAGCACUAUACAGGGAGCACUGACUGUCCCAAUUUAUUAUACACACAGACCUGUGUUAGUCAGAGCUCCCUGUAUAGUGCUGCUCUCUGUAU